CUCCUCCUCCGCCGCCGGCGAGCUCCUCCGGCGACCAUGGCGAAGACCCCCUGCCAGUGCUGCUGCGGCUUCAUCUUCACCUGCGGGCUCUCGGCUCUCUUCCUGUGGCUCACGCUGCGCGUGUCCAAGCCCAGCUGCUCCAUCCGCCAGUUCUACCUCCCGGCGCUCAACAGAUCUUUGGACCAACCCACGAACGCCACCAUUUUCAUGAACGUGAAGCUGAGCAACGGCAACAAGGAGAAGGGCAUUUACUACGACCCCGUGAACCUCACCGUUUUUUACUACGGCGAUGCGAAUCAGACCAAGUGGUUCCAGACCAUUCCUAAAUUUUACCAGGGGCACCAGAAGACGGCCAAGAAGGAUGCGAAUGUGGCGACUUCUGGGGUGAAUUGGACGGUUGUUGUGGCCAAGAACGAGUCUUCGGUCUUUAGGGUGGAUUUGGCCACUACAGUGAGGUUCAAGAUCAUGGUUUGGAAGACCAAGAGGUAUAAGGUAAUAGUGGGUGCUAAUGUGACUCUCAAUUAUCAGGGUGCUAAGAACACCGGCAAGAAGGAUGUCAAACUAAAGUCUGGGGUGGGUAAGAAUUUAGGGGGUUGUUGCUUUUGGCAGGUGGGGACUUCUGUUGUUGCUUUAGCUUUGAUUUUGCUUGACUAAGGUCUGAGUUGGACUCUCCCUUGUGGGAGGAAGGUUGAGAAUGGGAUUAAUUUUCUGGUAUUCCUAGAUGGUGGGCAGUGCUGGUUAGUGUUUGCAUUAGAAAUGAGUGCUGGUUAGUGUUUGGAUUUGAAAUGAUUUAUUUAAUGGAAGAGUUAAAAAAAUCAUUGGUUUGGGAUGGUUUCGUUGAAUGAAGAUUUGAAUGAAUUAUGGUGUUUGGUUCUUAUGAUAUGUAGUCCUUAUCCUUCAUUACAUUGAGUUCUUCGGGCUUGUUCAGAUUCCUGGUCUUUGCAAACAGAGUGAAUUUUGUUUGCCUUCUUAAAUUCUCGCGCGAAAGACUGCAUUGGGAGGAGAAUCUGGUUUUGUUAACUUUUGUGUAUCUUGUUGUCCUAGAUUUUAGUAUUGAGGACGAAUUUGCUGAUUGUUUCGACAUCUGUUAUUGGAAUUUGAAACGAUUGAGGUCUUUCUUAUCCCUCUGAGACCUCAUUCGUGCAUCAGGUUCCUUUUUACUACUUUACUGCGAUUUCUCAGUUUUAGUUUUUCCAGCAUGAAUUCUGUUGUUCAGCUCGACAUCAUCCGCAAUUUGAGAUCGGGUAAUUGGUGGCCCUGCGAAUUUGCAACCCUCCUUUUUCACGCAGUAAUCUUUGUGAAUUCGUGUAGUUUUGGAUCAUCAGUAAUUUCGACUGAACUCGUCAUUGAUGCCGUGAACAUAGCUGUCGAAUCCUAUUAAAGCAUGAAGCUGGUUAUCUCUGGCAUCGUCAAUCACAGUGCAUGUUUGAAGCCUCGAAAAUCAUUAACCAUGAAAAUGCCAAGAACGAAAUUUUAUGGUCGAUAAUCAUUAGCCAUUAGUAGCAAAUCUUGACUAGCAUUCUUUCGUGAAUACUUUGAGUGACGCGUUAUCUUCCAGUUUUCCUAAUGGAGUUCUUUCUCCUUCACUUUGGCAGAGGAUACAAACAGAUCCGGUUUAAGCGACUCAUCAUCCAACCAGAGCUAGUCUUGCCGGUUGAUAGAUCUCCGGUGCUCACGGUUGACCUCUCUCCGUCACUCAAUGCCCACUGUCGGUCCUCGAUCCGUUGAUGCAAUCUUUGCAAACGUUGAGGGUAAGAGGAAAACUUUUGAGUUUGAAAGCUGCUAAGAUGCCAAUAAACCGCCAGAAAGAGAGAGAGAGAGAGAAGAAAAUCUACUGUCAACUGAGGGAAGUGGAUUAUCGCUGCUCCAUUGUCGCUGGGGACAGGUCAUCUAUGUGCAACUUACACCUGCAAGUACAUAAUCUACCUUUAGUUCCGUUUAACUAUUUAUGCAACUUCCGAGAUGGUAAGGUCCUCGAAUUAGUUAUAGAUAUUGGUUCUUCUUUUACUUGUGGAUCUCAAAUUGGAAUUGAUUAUAGAAAUUGACCUUUACUAGAAUACUUGUGUUGGCUCCAUUGUUACUUGUGCACUAUAUCUAGCAUAAUGUUUUGAUGGCAUGAGUGGUAGCCAUCUUAUGCGGCAUAACCGGUGUUGACGUGGAUAAUUUUUAAUAUUUUUUUAUUUUAAUUUUUUUUUCCCGUUCUUACUCCUUUUGCAGUGGCUAGCCAUCAGCCAUAGGUGAUGUGGGCUAGCCUAGCCUACUAGAGGCGAGGCUUGGUGAUGGUCAGUCUCUCUCAAGCUAAAGUAGCCUCGCCGAGCAACACCUUAACUUGAGUGAUGCCUAGUAAGGCCACGUUGGCCUAUGCAAGGGUGGGUGAGGGCUUGCCCACACCCAGCUGCACCUUGCCUGUGGCAACUGAGGGUGACCCUUGGCCAAGUGAGACUACCUAGCAUGGCCAUGGUUGGAGGCCAGUCACUGGCAAAAGAAAAAAGAAAAAAAAGGAAAAUCAUAAAAAAGAUUAAAAUAUUAUUAAAAAUGAUUUAUAUUAGCACAGUCAUUUUAAGUAACAUUAUCGGCGUUGGUGUUAGUAAUUUUCAACCAAAAUUAGUCUGAUAGACUCAAUUGACAAAAAGUGAAAAAGUUUAAGAUUUAAUUGGCAAAAUUAAAAAAUUUCGAAUUAAAUUGACAAAAGUGUAAUUUUGGACUUUUCGGAUAAUUUUCCUUGAUUCUUGAUAAGUGCUAGAGAUUGUUACUUGGUCUAACUCUUCACCUUAACAUUUAACGCUACUUGGAUUACUUUCAUAUCCAGGUAUUUAUGAAGACCGAAGUCGCAUGGGUCCGCGAUGUGCUCUGAUUCGUAUGAGUUGCUGGUAAAACUUCUAAAGCAAGUCCCGGAAGAGUACCCGUACAAAGACGAUGAAUAAGCUCAUCUGUUUGCGGUUCAUCAUGACCUUUUUCAUCGCCCUGUAUCCGGCAGGGGAGUGUCAAAUAGCUCAUCUAUUCUCUUCUUAAUGAUGUACUUUCUCUCUGGUAUUGCAGAGAGUGUCGAUGCCGCAGGCUUCUAGAUUUCAGCCGUUAUAUGCAGUUGCUCUUCGCCAAACCGAACCCGAUGUGACUGCAAAUUGACCCUUGAUUCAAUUCUUCUUCUUCAUCUUUUCUUUUGUUGACUUAAUUUUGGAACAGAUAAGAUAUUAAAGAAAUGGACACUGUACUCUAGAGAUAAAUUGGCAACAACUUUUUUUUAGUCAUCGAGAAGUGAUAAAUUGCAAUUAUCGUGGUGCAAAAGUGAUAACUAAACAUGGAUUCGACGGUUUGCAAAUAGGCUAUGGGGCACAUUUAGGGGUGAGCAGCAGUCUAGGGUCGACCCUGGACCGACCUUGGACCGGCCCAACCCUGCUGGUCCUGGUCCGGUUCUUAAGGGGACUGGGUCGGUCCUUGGUCCUGAAAUUCCAGGACCAACACUGUGCGGGUUGGUCCUCGGUCCUAAGAGUUUUGGGUCGGUCCAACCCUGGACCAACCAUAUAUAUUAUAUUAUAUUAUAUUAUAUUAUAUUAUAUUAUAUUAUUUCAAACCUAAGUAAAAUGUAUGUUAUAUUAUAUUAUAUUGAGAUAUUCUAUCAAUAGCACUAAUAGUAAUUUCAAUUUAAAACUUUUGUUGAGUAUUAAUUAAGUGUCGUUUGUUUUGUUUUAAGAUGUUUAGAAGUUCAAGUGAAUUAACAAGAUGUGAAGUUAUAUAUUCAUGGUUUAUAUUAAGUAUUUUGAACUUUUUAUGGUUUAAUUAUAUUUUACUAAUGAAUUUCAGCUGCACUUUGCUUUUCAAUUUGUGUCAAAUGAUAGAAGUUUUUGAAGAGUAGAGUAGUACUGCAGUUGCUACGGUAAUUUGCUAGUCAAGUGGUGUGAAGCACAUUUUUUGGUUGAAUGGACUCUACAUGAUCAAAUGCAGGAAAACGCUUUUGCAUAUGGUGUUAUGAAUAUUAGAGAUAGAUGAUUACAAGAACAUUCCAUAUUGUCCCAUAUUUCGAUGAGCGGUUAGCAGGUACGAAAUUUCUAUUAUUGUGUCAUCUUAAAUUUGCUAAAUAUGUAUUGGUAUUUAUAGUUUAGUUACACAAUGUUGCAUUGUCGAUGGAUGUGUAAUUUGAAUUUGUAGGUUUGCUUUUUUAGGGAAUAUAAAAAAUAAGACGAAAAAAAUUAUCGAUCGGUCCCGGGUUGACCCUGGAACCGGACCGAACCCAUUGGGUCGGUCCGGUCCUUGGUCCUAGGCUCAAUAGGGUCGGUCCUCGGUCCUAAAAAUUGAGGACCGACACUGUACGGGUUGGUCCUAGGGUUAGGGGGUGGCCCGGACCAACCCGGACCAUGCUCACCCCUAGGCACAUUUGCUUCUGGGCGCGAUAAUAGAGAAAAGAAAAUUAUUCUAGCAACCAAAAAAAAAAAAAAAAACCAAUAAAGAAAAAUUUCUUUUGUGGGUUCAAUAAAAUAUGACAAAAACUAUUUGGUAGAAAAAAUCAUUGGUUUCGGUCGAAUUUGUCGAAUAAACAUUUGAAUGAAUUCUGGUGCUUGGUUCUUGUGGAAAGUAGUGCUUAUCCUUCAUUACAUUAUUCAGGUUGGUUCAGAAUCUUGGUCUUUGUAAACAGAGUGAAUUAUGUUUACUUUCAUCCAAUUCUUGCAUGAAAGACUGCAUUGGGACGAGAAUCAGGUCACGUUCGCUGCAUUUCAGUGGUAUAUUUUAAAGACCUCUGAUUUUUUAUUUUGUUAUGGAUACUUAGUAGAUUCUACAAGUCAUUGUGGGCCUUCCUUUUUUUUUUUUUUUUCUAAGUUAGGAUUUUAAGAAAAAAUAUUAAUUUUUUCUAGACAAACAAGUAUGAGAGAGAAGACCAUUUUAUUUCUACAUAAACGAAUAAAGAGAAGACGAGCAGCUUGGUUUUAUUUGAAGUAUAAAAUUCAAUUUGAAACUAAUCUUACCACCUGCUAACCAGAGUUUGGCAUAUCUUAACUUUUUAAUAACGGGGACCUUUGUUGAAUGAUGUUAUGUUCGUCGCCAAUUGCUGAUGAUGUAUUUUGACCGACUUAAACCUUACCGCUAAUCCUAAUCUUCAUCCGACUUCUCAUAGAAGCUUAGAUGGUCGGAUGAUCGACUAGCCUCUUAUUUUUCUAAGGAAGUAAAAUAUUAUAUACAUGAACAAGCAUGGAUAGAUAAAAUGCCGGUGUGUAAAGCGGAGACUCGCCUUCUCGUGGUCGACAAGACGACAAAUAACAAUGAAAUAAAGCCAGCCACAUUCACCGUUAUAUCAAUCCAGAGUAGUUCCAUGGCCAUGGUGGGUUGGUUCCCACCUUGAAACCAAGAAUCGAAAACUGGCUCACUUGGUCUUAAAAAGAUCUAGUUCAAUUUGAUUUUUGAAUGAGUAUAGGAAUUAGUAGGGAUAUCUUCAUUUCUUUUUUGCAAGAUCAUUAGUUCACUUAUUUUGUGUUAGAGAAGUUAUAUAUCGGAGAAUUAGUAAAAUGUUGAGUAGCUAAUAUAUCCUCGUUGAUCAAUAACUUAUUGAUUGAAGUUUUUGAGUGAAUGUGAAUUUAAGUGAAUAUGUUGAUGGGCUUGGAUUUUGGCUUUUUCUUUGAGAUCUCCUCAAGUGAAGGUUUCAUAUUUUUGCUACGCACUCUCAACAAAUGGAAUUAGUAUCGAUGGUUGAUUGGUGGUCCAUUCUUAAUGAAUACCGACUUCAUAGUUUGGUGCUUUGGUCCGGGAAAAAGAGAUAGUUUGAGGAAUAUCUUCAGGAAUGAAUCUUGUGGCCAAUCCAACCUUACGAUUCGGUGGUUCGGUCCGGAAAAAACAAUAUUAGUGUCAGGAAAUGCUUAAUGUUAUAGUGAAUGUGAUCUGGGCUCACACGAGUCAGGGUGUGCCCACUACUCGGUCGUGUAACUGGGUAAUUUAUCUUGGAGCAAGGCUUACAGAUGGUCCCAAAAGGACCCUUCGUUGUUAAGGCCCGAACCCAUCACGACACAACGCUCCACGGGGUGCGACCCAGUGUCGAGACCGUACGAUGUUGGAUUCUUGGAAUGGUCCGAAAAGGAUUGAGAGUUGAAGAGGGCUGUGGGCGAUUAUUGGGCCUUUCGGCCCCAGAGUCUCCUAUGGGACACGGUUGAGCCGACCGAAGCACCGCUCUCAGCACGAGGGAAAUGAACAUCCAUCUGUACAAGUUACGCUCGAUCAACUCGUGCGGAUCAUCUCCUUCGGUUUGGAUUCGCGGGUACUGAACUGGUAAGUUGGAUCUUCGAUCAGUGUCGUCGAGAACUACGCGGUCUUGUCGUCCUAGAUUUCAGUAUUGAAGAUGUUUGCUGAUUGUUUCGACAUCUGUUAUAGGAAUUCGAAACGUUUUGAGGUUGUUUUUUUCUGGGAUUUCUCGAUGUUAACUUCAGCAUGGAAUUUCCAUUUCAUUACCUAUCUGGGAUUUCUCAGUUUCAGUUUCUCAGCAUGAGUUCUAUUGUUCAGCUUCGACAUCAUUCACAAUUUGAGAUGGGGUAGCUGGUGAUUCUGCGAAAUUGCAACCCUCUUUUUCAUUCAGUAGUCUUUGCGAAUUCCCGCAGUUUUUCAUCAUCGUAAUGUCUUAAAGCAUGCGGCUGAUUCUCUUUGGAAUCUUCAAUCACAGUGCAUGUUUGAAGCCGUGAAAAUCAUUGACCAAGAAAAUGCCAAGAACGAAAUGUUGUCUUUGGAGCAUGGCGGUUGCUAGUUGUGCUGUCUCUGUCGAUAAACUUCACGAGUAGUUCAUACAUAAUCUGCCAUCAGUAGCAAAUUUUGACUAUCAUUCUUUUGUGAAUGCUUUGAGUGAAAUCUUAUCUUCCGGUGUUUCUAAUGGAGUUUUUUCUCCUUCAGUUUGGCAGAGGAUACAAACAGAUCUGGUUUAAAUGACGCAUCAUCCGACCAGAGCUAGUUUCCGGUUAAUAGAUCUCUGACACUCACAGUUGACCUCUCUUCAUCACUCAAUGCCCACCGUCGGUCCUCGAUCUGGGGAUGCAAUCUUUGCAAAGGUUGAGCGAGUGGUAAGACAAAACAUUUGAGUAUGAUGUACCCAAACCAGUAAGCUGUGAAGAUGCCAAUAAACCACAAAAGGAAAAAAAAGGAGGAGAAAAUCUAACAUUAAUGGAGGGAAGUGGAUUAUCUGCUUCUCUAUAGUCGCUGGUGAUCGGUCAUCUAUGUGGAACUUACACCUGAAAGUAUAUAAUCUACCUUUAGUUCCAUUCAACCAUUUCUGCAACUUUUAUGAUGAUAAGGUUCUACAAUUAGUCAUAGAUAUUGGUUCUUUCUUUACUCGUGUAACUCAGAUUGGAAUUGAUUUCAGAUAUUGACCUUUACUAGAAUACUUGUGUUGGCUCCAAUGUCACUAUAUAGCAUUAAGUUUUAAUUCAUACCUUUGUUCCUUGCGUUCUUUCGAGGCUAAGUGAUUGAGCUUUAUUUUAUAUUUGAGUUUUGGCGACAAUCUCUGGGAUGAGUGACUCUUUCCUUUCCUUCAGUGUUCCUUUAUGCAAAAGAGAAUGGACAAGAUUGAGCAGCAUAAAUCUCGUGUUGCUCAUUUUAUAUGUCGGUAAUUAGAAAGAUGUUAUUGCUGCAGAAUGCAGAGCUGUUUACUUUAACCUAUGGAGCAAUUGUGCGUCAAUUGCUUACAGACCUGGAGGACGUUGAGGAAGUCAACAAACAACUUGAUCAAAUGUGCGUUUCUUUUUGUUACCAUGAUUUCAUCAGCCAGUGUUUGCAUUUCUUGUAUAUCGACGAGAAUAAAAUUAUCUUAGCAAUGUUCUUUGUCCUUUUACCAGUCUUGUAUUUGUUCUCAAUUGCUCAAUGUCUUAGAAUUAGAUCAUAAUGUUGUAGCUUGUGUCAAGUACUCUUUGUCAAAAUUAUUUAUUUUAGCAGCAGUAAUGAAUUCUAGUUUGUGAAAAUUAUAAACUCCUGUGAACUCUGCUAAAUUGCUUAAAUUUGUCAGUUCUUCACUAUUUAUAUUCUUUGCACUUUUUACCCAUCUUGCAGGGGUUAUAAUAUAGGCACCAGAUUGAUUGAUGAAUUUCUAGCAAAGGCUAAUAUCUCCAGAUGUGUUGACUUCAAGGAGACAGCCGAAAUGAUUGCUAAGGUUCCAAUCCUUACUAUGUUUCAUUCCCAUGAUAAUAAUAGGAGACUACAUGCUUAUGGUAGAUUAGUUCUAGACAAGCCCAGAGUAUCAGUUUGACCUAGUUUCUAUAUACUAUGCUGCAGUAGUAGAUUGUCAAUAUUGGCCAGUAGGGGGACAGUUUGAUUCUCCAACAUGACUGAUUUUUCCUUGCUUGCGCAUAUACAAGAACUGUAAACCAUGGAAAAGUACAAGUUGAGGUUUAUGUUUUACUGAAUCAGUUACGUACAGGUGGGUUUCAAGAUGUUCUUAGGAGUCACUGCAUCAGUGACCAAUUGGGACAUCGAGGGAACCUGUUGCAAUAUGGUUUUGGAGGAGAAUCCCUUGGUAGACUUUGUGGAGCUUCCUGAUACAUGCCAAGGCCUAUAUUACUGCAACGUCUUAUGCGGGGUCAUCAGAGGGGCCUUAGAAAUGGUAAGCUCGAUCACUGUUGUAGGAGAACUUUCCAAUCAUAAAUGCACUCGCAGUUUGACUCUUUGUGGUUGCAUUGCAAUGGGUGCUAUCUGUAGAUUGUAGAGACUUUCAAAUCGAAAUUUGUUAGGAGACAUCCACUGGUUGUUUUGACCUCCUUGGAGUUCAAGUUUUAGGACAAAUUGUCUUGAAUGUAGGAUUAGGAGAGAAAGGUUAUAGGUAGGCGAUUCGGUUUAGGCUAACAAUUAUUUAUCUGAACAUUCGUGUAGCGCGAAUGGAUCUGAUGCACCUAUAAACUUUUUGAAGAAGAUGAUAUGAUUCCUGAUCAGUGGCAGAGAAUGUUACUUGGCAUCGUGUUACUCUUCACCUUAACAUUGAAUGCUACUUGCAUUACUUUCAUAUCUAGGUGUCGAUGAAGACUGAAGUCACAUGGGUCCGAGAUGUGCUCCGAGGGGAUGAUUCGUAUGAGUUGCAGGUGAAACUUCUGAAGCAAGUCCCAGAAGAGUACCCGUACAAAGACGAUGAAUAAACUCGUCUGUUUGCAGUUCAUCACGGCCUUUCUUCUGCCUUGUGUCCGGGAGGGGAGUGUCAAAUAGCUAAUCUGUUCCCUUCUUAAUGAUGUGUUUUUCUUUUCAGUAUCGGAGGGAUCAUCGAUGCCGAUGGCUUUUCGGUUUCAGUCGUUAUAUGCAGUUACUCUUUGCCAAACCGAACCCAACAUGACUGCAAACUGACUCUUGAUUCUUCUUCUUCUUCUUUUCUUUUCUUUUGUUGACUUAAUUUUGGAACAAAUAAGAUAAUUAAAAGAAAUGGAUAAUGAAUUGUAGAAGGUACAGACAAACUGGCAACACUUUCUUUAGUCAUCAAUGACAAAGAUAGAUUUUUUUUAGUCAAUCGGGGUAUAAAGUCGAUAACUUGGUUGAAAAACACGUCGUGAAGCACAUGUCUACCUUGUAGUGGAUGUUUCACCCACUCCUUCACCUUUAUCUGCGCAGAUGGCUAUUUAUUGAUCAAAUACUCCUUAUGAGGUGUGGUAGAGUAAAUCCUUCCUACUUGAAGGGCGCCCUAAUUCCCCAGUAUAAUUUUUUCUUCCAAGGAGUAUCCAUGAUGUUUUAUGCCUUAAGAGUUUAGAUGAAGCAUCUUUGGGACAUACUUGGAUCCAAUUCUUCUUCUCCUCUUCUUUUGUUGACUUAAUUUUGGAACAAAUAAGAUAGUUAAAGAAAUGGAUAAUGAACCGUACAAUGUACAGACAAACUAGCAACAACUUUCUUUAGUCAUUGUUGACGAAUUGAUAGAUUUUAAUUAUUAUGGCGUAGUAGUCAUAGGUGAAAUACUAUUUGUUAGUCCAUAGGUAGGCUUUGACGUAAAUGUAUUCACAGCGCGACAAUGGAGAAAAAGAAAAUUGUUCUAGCCUAAAUCAAAGAAAGAAAACAAUAGAUUUUUGAUGUUUGGUCCGAAGUGCACCGCACAUUCUACGAGCCGUGGGUUGCCUGACGUAAGCCCAGCAGGCUCGGCAGAUCCUAGGCAUAAAAAAAAGAGAAAAGACAAACUGGCAAUAACUUUCUUUAGUCAUCGAUGACUUGCCCUUCCCAUCUAAAGGGCCCCCUAAGAAUGUAAUUUUUUCUUUCCCACCAAGGAAGGAAUACCCAUGAUACUUUACGUCCUAGAGUUUAGAUGACGAAGCAGUUUUAAGACAUAUUCAGAUCCAAUUCUUCUUCUUUUCCUUUCUUUUGUUGACUUAUCCAAUAAGCUAGUUAAAAGAAAUGGAUAAUGAACCGUACAAUGUACAGACAAACUAGCAACAACUUUCUUUAGUCAUCAAUGACGAAUUGAUAGAUUUUAAUUAUUAUGGCGCAGAAGUCAUAGGUAAAUAUUGAUUCGUCAGUGUAGAGGUAGGCUUUGACGCAAAUGUACUCACAGCAUAACAAUGGAGAAGAAAAAUUGUUCUAGCCUAAAUCAAAGAAAGAAAACAGCAGAUUUUUUUUUUCUUUUGUAUUAUGUCUAAACACUUUAAUACAUAGAAAAAAUCUACCCUGCUAAUCCUAAGUGACGCUAGAAAAUCUAAAGGUCAAUAUCAUAAAAAAUCCCAAACUACACUUAGGUGACACAAAAACUUAGACCUUUUAUUUUUUUUUCGUGUCACUAAAAUCAAUACAAAAUCUUUAACUUUUUCUCGUGUCAUCAAAAUUUCCGAACUUAUACCAGUGUGAUAAAUAUACAUUUAAUGGAAUUGAAAUAAAAGCCAUAUAUGUCAAAUAUGUAUAAUUUUGGGUUUUUUGGCAAUAUAGAAAAAAAUAUGGGAUUUAUAUUACAAUAGACAUAGUUUGAGGUUUUAGCCUAAAAUCUAUAGAUAACCCUAAGCAACAAGGAAUUAUGAAAAAAUAAUCAAAAGCCCAAGAAAACAGCGAAAAAAUGACAAAAAUUAAAAAGUGCCUCGAGACACGCCUCAAUAAUGAAUUUUGAGGUCCGAAAUGGGUAUCUCAAAACAUACUUCAGUUCAGAACAACCUUUCUAUAACUGGCACCAUGCAUCCCGUAAUUUUUUUUUAUUUUUUAAAUCCCACAUCAUGGUAGUUGCGUACGUUGUUGCACCCAGGCCACCUGUUCGAUUUACUAUCGUGGGCAACCGCGUCAGACUCCAUAAUUGAUAAUGAUGGGUCCGACCGAGCAUCUUUCGAAUUUUCUCCUCAGCUGUUUCCAUAUUCAACUUGGCGUAUUUAUCUACGUAUUUUCCGACCAAUCGGAAGCCACCUUAUGGUCAACCCCAAGUAAACGGGGGCGCGCGUAAGCUGACUGACUGUACCUCCGCGUCUGCCGCACGUUCGAGGCACCUUCGCUUUUGCUCCUCCUCCUCGUUCUCCACUGCAGACCAAGCAUCACCAGCUCUUCCCUCUUCCUCGGCCCCUCCUCCUCCGGCGACCAUGGCGGAGUCCGUCUGCCAGUGCUGCUGCGGCUUCAUCUUCACCUGCGGGCUCUCGGCUCUCUUCCUGUGGCUCACGCUGCGCGUGUCCAAGCCCAGCUGCUCCAUCCGCCAGUUCUACCUCCCGGCGCUCAACAGAUCUUUGGACCAACCCACGAACGCCACCAUUUUCAUGAACGUGAAGCUGAGCAACG
rnacentral:lncRNA from 1 species